rnacentral:rRNA from 1 species
AACGAACGCCGGCGGCAGGCUUAACACAUGCAAGUCGAACGGUUGUAGCAAUACAGCAGUGGCAGACGGGUGAGUAACACGUGGGAACCUUCCUAGGGGUACGGAACAACUCAGGGAAACUUGAGCUAAUACCGUAUACGUCCGUGAGGAGAAAGAUUUAUCGCCCUUAGACGGGCCCGCGUCGGAUUAGCUAGUUGGUGGGGUAACGGCCUACCAAGGCGACGAUCCGUAGCUGAUCUUAGAGGAUGAUCAGCCACACUGGGACUGAGACACGGCCCAGACUCCUACGGGAGGCAGCAGUGGGGAAUCUUGGACAAUGGGCGCAAGCCUGAUCCAGCCAUGCCGCGUGAGUGAAGAAGGUCUUCGGAUUGUAAAGCUCUUUAACCAGGGACGAUAAUGACGGUACCUGGAGAAUAAGCCCCGGCAAACUUCGUGCCAGCAGCCGCCGCCGUAA